GAUGAACGCUAGCGGCAGGCUUAAUACAUGCAAGUCGAGGGGCAGCACAGAUAGCAAUAUUGGGUGGCGACCGGCAAACGGGUGCGGAACACGUACACAACCUUCCUUUUAGAGUGGGAUAGCCCAGAGAAAUUUGGAUUAAUACCACAUAGUAUAUUUGAGUGGCAUCACUUUGCUAUUAAAGAUUUAUAGCUAAAAGAUGGGUGUGCGUAUGAUUAGGUAGUUGGUAGAGGUAACGGCUCACCAAGCCUUCGAUCAUUAACUGGUGGGAGAGCACGACCAGUAAAACGGGCACUGAGACACGGGCCCGACUCCUACGGGAGGCAGCAGUAAGGAAUAUUGGUCAAUGGACGGAAGUCUGAACCAGCCAUGCCGCGUGAAGGAUGACGGCCCUCUGGGUUGUAAACUUCUUUUAUGUGGGACGAAAAAGGGCCAUUUUUGGUCAACUGACGGUACCAUAGGAAUAAGCACCGGCUAACUCCGUGCCAGCAGCCGCAGUAA
rnacentral:rRNA from 1 species